UGAAAAAUAAAAAAAUUAAAAUUUUCAAAGGAUAAACUUAGAAAUGUGCUAUUUUGGUCAUUUUAGUUUUUGAGUGCUAUUUUUGUGAUAUAGACUUAGAAAUGUGCUAUUUUGGAGAUUUGCCCUUUUUACUAUGCUGUACUUAUUUGUAUAUCAUAAAUUUUAUUAAACGUGUCAAAAACCUCUCUCCUCAAAAACCUCUCGCUAAAAGCUCUCGUCUUUCUCCUUUAUCCGGUUGCUCCGACGUCGGAAGCGACGCCGGAGGCGUGCUCUUCCUUCCUCCUCCUUGGUUUUGCUUUCGCCUCCUGUUGUUUCUUUCUUCCUUCGGUCGAUAUACUUGGAGUUCUGAUCUUUUGCCGGCUUCUCAUCACGGUGAGGCCUCGCCGUUAGUGGAGUUCGUCAGCCGCUUGGAGGUCCGGUGAGGCGCGUAAGGGUGGUUCAGCUCAGGGGGUCGGGUUUUAGGGAUUGAGAUUCCUCGGAGUUUCGUUUUCUCCUUUAGAUCUCCGGCGUGUUUCAAGGAACGGUGGCGCGUGUCUUCGUCAAGGGGUCUUUUCUUCCCGGAUCUGGGCUUCACUGGUAUCAUCUCUUUUGAUCCGUUCUGGAGGAGUGGGGUGGUGGCGCGUGGGUUUUCUGCUCGCUUGGUGUCUCGCGGCGGAAGCUCACCUCGCCGUCAUCCAAGAAGUUUUCGGUGUGUUUUUCACCGACGCGUGCAAGGAGGUUAGGUCAUCGUGUGUCGGUCGCUUCUUCUUGGUGGUGGCGCGUGCAAGUCUGUAGCUCGGCGGAGGCGGCGAGUCGUCUAUGGCUCCGGCCAAUCACGGGUUCCGUUGCUUCUUCUUUGAUUCCUCAAGUCACGGCAUCCCAGCUAGCUCUCGGGUUGUGUCUUCGCGAUGUCAGCUCUCCGAGCGUUCGAUGCUUGCUCUCAUUAGGAAGUUUGUCGCUUGUCUUCGAGAGCUUCCGGAUGGGUUUUGAAGCGGGCAGUCCUCUGGUUCUCAGAGGUUGAGCAAGGCGGGUUCUCGGUCCUUCUUGUGGUGGACUGGUCUCGAAGACAGCUUGCGCUGAAGCUCAUCAUCCCAGCGUUAGGGUCUUAGUCAUUUGGAUGCUCUAGUGGAUGUGUUUCUAACCGUUUCGUUGCAGAUUUCGUUCCAGUUGGUUUGUGUGUUGUAGCCUCUUUCAAUCCCAUUUUUUAGUUUUAUGUCUGCUUGUGUUGUUGUCUGUUUUUUUUCUUGUGUUUAGGUUGUGUUGUUUAGGUUGUGAUAGUUUUAGAUCGUGAUAUUGCGUUGUAAUCUCUCUGGUCUUCAUGGUGGUAAUGGGUCAUUCGGGGAGGAGGAAGCGGAGACUUGUUCUCCCGCCCCGAUUAACCGGAACUAGCCGGUGAUCACCGAUGUUGGCUACGGGGUUAUGAUAAGCGGCUUGUCUGUGUAUCCUUCCUAGAGCUGGGUCGGAGUUUAGCGAAGUAACCCGUCUGUGUAUCAUUCGAAAGUGUAGUGGGGCAGUUUUAGGUUGUACGGAUUUUAUCCGAGUCUCAGUUUGUAUCCAUUACUUAUGCCCAUUUGGGAUGAUGAAUAAAAAUUGGUAUUUAAAUUAAAAAAAAUAAAAAUUAUUAAACGCUUAUUAAAAAUGCUAUAUUUUCUCUUUUUUCUUUUUCUCUCUGACAAAAUUUUAUUUCUUCUUCCUUUGGUUCUUUUCCAACAUGUCUAGAUUUUAGAACGGUAACUCGAUUUCGAUCGUAAGAUCCGGAGAUAGUUUCCCUUAUAAAAGGAGCCAUUCCAGUGUAGCGAUGAGGUUGGGAAGACAAGGAAGCAUGGAGUUGGCAUUUAGGAUGGCUUCAAGCGAAUUGAAGGAUUUUCAAAUCUAACUUUUGAUUUAUUUUUGGCUGGAGUUGGUGGCGCAUGGGUGAUGAAUCUGGCUCUCCCGGCUUGGAUAUAUUCAUUAGGUUCCUCGUUAUUGAGAAGUGGUGGCCGUUGGCUUUCUCUCCUCCGCCGCGUUUUUCUACACUCAAGUUGGACUUCAAUGGUUGUUCUCAUCUAGGCGUGUGUCGGUUUUAACCCUUCUGACAGUGGUGUUUCCCAGUUGAGCAUGUAGGUUUUCAGUUUCGAAUGGCGCGUGGAGUUAUCCGGUCUUUGUCCGAUUCAGUCCACGGUUUUGUCAGAUGGUAAGCCCCACCGAAGUUUCGUGCAUUAUUGGUGAUGGGUUCUCAAUUUCCGUUCGUAAAGGCUCAUAGACCUUUUUUUUUUGUCACCGUUGGUCUUUGUUUGGAGUUCGAAGAAUCAUCCUUUUGUUCUUAGAGAUGAAAUGUGUGGGUGCUUGGCAAGCUUUGUUAGUCAGCGGAGCUCUAAUUUCACUCCCCAGUCUCGGAGAGUGUUCUUUGACAUUCUCCGAUAGGAUUUGUCCUUUUCUUCAUAUAUGUAGGUUCCUUAUCACCACCAUGCAAGUUGGUUCUCUUCUCAAUCUGCUUUCUUCUUUCCUUCGGAGAGCAUGUCCCGGUGUUAGGUCUCAUGAUGUUCACAUGUAUGGAUUUCUUGGACCUUUUGUUAUCCCUUAGCGCUAAAGAGCCUUGAGAAAAAUCAACAAUUACCCGGAUUAAUCACGAUCAAGCAGCGAUGAACAAAUCUGAUCUGGAGUUGUUGAAAAUUGGAUAUGUGUGAACUAUCAGAAAGCUAAGCUCGUCUUCAUAUCUUUUCCACUGCCUACGUUGAAUACUCCACAAGCUAUGGUUGACUAGGCGUGGCUCGGAACAUUGGCCUCCGAAACAUCGACAGCAUCGUCCAAGUCUUCAAAAUGAGUUGCCAAAAGGAGACCUUCAAAUAGGAUCACGACACAUGAACCAGAGGUUGCACUUACUCAGCGCAACUGUUUGGUGAACGAGUGAAAAAGUACGCUUUCCAGCCCUUAAGAAAGGACCCAUAAGCCAUGUGGUUUCUACAUCAAGUAUUUGUAUGAUAAUUAUGAUAAUCUUAUCAGGAAGAUCAUGAUUUGCCAUAAGAGGUAUUAAAUUAUUUUUUAAAAGUGAAGCAAACAAUAAACAGCAAACAUUUGACGUCUUUGUAGAGGAACUAGACACGAAAACCUUUUGGCCUUAUCCGUAACGGUUAUAUUUUCAUAAAAUGGUAACAUUGUACAACAGUUAAAUUUUACUCCCUCUGUUUCAUUAUAAAUGUCGUUUUAGGUUU